rnacentral:rRNA from 1 species
GACAUGGCUCAGGAUGAACGCUAGCUACAGGCUUAACACAUGCAAGUCGAGGGGCAGCGGGAUUGAAGCUUGCUUCAAUUGCCGGCGACCGGCGCACGGGUGAGUAACGCGUAUCCAACCUUCCGCAUACUCGGGGAUAGCCUUCUGAAAAGGAGAUUAAUACCCGAUGGUAUCAAGAGAUUGCAUGAUAACUUGAUUAAAGAAUUUCGGUAUGCGAUGGGGAUGCGUUCCA